GAUGAACGCUGGCGGCGUGCCUAAUACAUGCAAGUCGAGCGAACAGACGAGGAGCUUGCUCCUCUGAUGUUAGCGGCGGACGGGUGAGCAACACGUGGAUAACCUACCUAUAAGACUGGGAUAACUUCGGGAAACCGGAGCUAAUACCGGAUAAUAUAUUGAACCGCAUGGUUCAAUAGUGAAAGACGGUUUUGCUGUCACUUAUAGAUGGAUCCGCGCCGCAUUAGCUAGUUGGUAAGGUAACGGCUUACCAAGGCAACGAUGCGUAGCCGACCUGAGAGGGUGAUCGGCCACACUGGAACUGAGACACGGUCCAGACUCCUACGGGAGGCAGCAGUAGGGAAUCUUCCGCAAUGGGCGAAAGCCUGACGGAGCAACGCCGCGUGAGUGAUGAAGGUCUUCGGAUCGUAAAACUCUGUUAUUAGGGAAGAACAAAUGUGUAAGUAACUAUGCACGUCUUGACGGUACCUAAUCAGAAAGCCACGGCUAACUACGUG
rnacentral:rRNA from 1 species